rnacentral:rRNA from 1 species
CGGCGGACGGGUGAGUAACGCGUGGGUAACCUACCCUGUACACACGGAUAACAUACCAAAGGUAUGCUAAUACGGGAUAAUAUAUUUGAGAGGCAUCUCUUGAAUAUCGAAGGUGAGCCAGUACAGGAUGGACCCGCGUCUGAUUAGCUAGUUGGUAAGGUAACGGCUUACCAAGGCGACGAUCAGUAGCCGACCUGAGAGGGUGAUCGGCCACAUUGGAACUGAGACACGGUCCAA